CCUUGUUUGACUCUUUUCUACCCUGCACAGAACUGAUGUGUGUUGUCCUUGGAUCAUUUCAGUGAGUGCCGCCUUCCAAAAACCACACUAUGGUAGAGUUGCACCAAUGUCUGCGUUCCCCUUGCGCAACAGACAGACUACAUAGUGUGCAUGUGUGUGAGAGAGAGAGAAAGUCCAUUCCUUUCUGUUUCGUCACCCUCUCCUCGUGUGUCACUGAAUAUUCUGCUGGCAGGGGCCUGAUGGUGAAAGAAUUUAAUGGGAUGUUGACGUUGUUUCAUACGACCAGAGAGGCAGUAAGUUAUAUAAAACGGACACUAAUUGCACUGUAAUUACGCAUACCACUCUAGGCUUGUGGGCUUGGAAGCUUGUAGAGGAUGGAGUCAGACGUCCCCCUUUCUUCAGUUUGUUUUUAUCUUUUAUUUUUUCUUCUACAACUUUUUUCUUUACUCUUUCUCUAUCUGGCUGUGUUUGAUGAUUCCAGAAGGCUCUCCUGGUCUCCAAGGAGAGAUCAGGCUUUUAUGGGCCGGCGGCGAUGGCCUCGGUCAGGCACCCACCAUCUGCACAGUCACAGGACUUUUAGCAUCACUUACUCUGUUUGUUCAGUCAAUCAUAAGCAUGGUAAAGGGUAAUGAGCCGGUGGUUCUGUGCGUUCUGUCCACAAAGGGGUCACAGACAGGGACAGGUGGAGGAUCUGGUGCCAGGCAGCCGUAUCUCACCGGCCCGCAUCAAACCAGCCUGAUGCACAGACUGGAGAUAACUGGUAAUGGUGAUGUGAUGUUUUGAGUGUGUGAGUCAUUCCUGGGGGAACAGGUACGGCAUCAAGCUGGUAAGGUAAACAUAUGUGAAAUGGAUGAAAUGACUCGUGAUUAGAUCUAUGUGAUUAGUUUGUUGACUCAAGUAGACUGUUUCUGAUGGAGAAAAUGAAGAUGCUGAUCAUUAGUAUUAUGCUGCUGUAACAUUACAAAACACAGACUUAUAUGUCCACUUGAUAUAUGCUGACUGACACAUGAUUGCUGGUGUAACUCCUUUACAUCACCUCCAC
ensembl:lncRNA